AAUCAACGCUGGCGGCGUGCCUCAGACAUGCAAGUCGAACGCGAAAGUUUCCUUCGGGGAACAAGUAGAGUGGCGCACGGGUGAGUAACACGUAGGUAAUCUACCUUUGGAUGGGGAAUAACAAUCGGAAACGGUUGCUAAUACCGCAUAAUGCAGCGGCACCUAAUGGUGACAGUUGUUAAAGCGGGGGAUCGAAAGACCUCGCGUCUGAAGAGGAGCCUGCGGCGGAUUAGCUAGUUGGUAAGGUAAUGGCUUACCAAGGCUACGAUCCGUAACCGGCCUGAGAGGGCGGUCGGUCACACUGACACUGACAUACGGGUCAGACUCCUACGGGAGGCAGCAGUAGGGAAUAUUGGUCAAUGGAUGCAAGUCUGAACCAGCCAUGCCGCGUGCAGGAAGAAGGCGUUAUG
rnacentral:rRNA from 1 species